AAUUCUCAACCUUGAAAGGCUUUACAAGUUUUUCAAGGCUUGGAUCUGGAGGCUGCGGGCUUCAUUCUUUGAAGUCGGCUCCUCUUAAAUGCAUUAGCUGGGUUUGCGCCUUCAGCCUAUUGGUGUGAUAAUUAUCUACGCCUCCUGGCCGUCAGCGUGUUAUACCUCUCCAGCUUCUAACCGUCUCUUGUAGACAAUCUUUGACC
rnacentral:misc_RNA from 1 species